rnacentral:rRNA from 1 species
AACCCAACAGCUAGCUUAAAUUU